AUACUUACCUAGCAGGGGAGAUACAAAUAUCGUGAAGAUGGGUUUCCUAGGGUGAGGAUAAUUCACUCAGGAUGUGCUAACCCUUGCAAUUUCCCCAAAUUCAGGAAACUCAACUACAUAAUUUGUGGUAGUGAGGAACUGUAUUCAUGCUCUCUCCUUA